ACUUAAAUAGCUUAUAGAYAGAGCGCUGCCUUGAAGAUGCAGAGGAAGAAGUUCUUUUAAGUG
rnacentral:tRNA from 1 species